CACAGGCACACAGAUGGGGUCACAGUCACUCAAACACUGGAGAUGGAGAGAGAAACGGUUGACAGAUUAGAUCUGGGGGUGUCCAUAGCACCCGUUCUUUGUAUGUGAUCGCUUAGUUUAAUGAAAAAGGUUUGCUUCCUAAAUACAUCCUUUAAUAUUCACCCUGUGCGACCAGGCAUGGUGGCUCACUGAAGAUCUCUGUGUUCCAGGCCGGCCUGGGUUUACAUAGUGAGUUCUAAGACUACACAGAGAGACCCUGUCUCAAACAAAUAAACUCAUCAUGUGCAUUUUCCAUUUGAUAUACUUUUGAAUUUUUUUUUAAAAAUGAAAGCAGAAUCUUGCAAAGUCAGGGAUCGGAUGAACUCUUUCAGUGUCUGCAAUCCCAGGAGACAAGUCGUUGCAUUUCAAUGGAUGGGUUCCUGGGGAUAGCUCGCCGGAUCUCAGGCUUCCUCAGCAAGCACUCUAAGGACAGCUGUACCUCCAGCCCCGUGUCAAGACAUCACAGCUGUCACAGUGAAGAUGGCUCUGCUCAGAUCAGUGACCUGUGUAGGGCUUAGAGUCUGAAGCAGAGACACAGGUAAGCACAAACCACUUAAGUCAAAACCUAAUUCCUUUCUACAUCAAUUUUUUUCCUUCUGUAGGAAGUAUUCGUCAGCUUGACACUGUGAAGAGGAAUCUCAAUUGAGAAUGCCUGCAUCCCAUCCACCUGUGGUGCAUUUUCUUGAUGGAUGAUUGAUGUGGGCGGGUCCAGCUCCCUGUGGGUGGCGUCACUCCCUGGCAGGUGGUGCUGGGCUGGAAAAGAAAGCAGAAGGAGCAAGCCAGUCAGCAGCUCUGUGACCUCGAUGCCAGCCCCUGCCUCUAGCUUCCCGCCUUGAGUUCAUACCCUGGCUUUCCUCAGUUACUGACAGUAAAGUGCUGAGAAUUCUGUAUCACCUCCAGCUUUCUGUCCAAUGGCAUGGAGUAUUCAGGUGGAGGAGCAGGGUUGCCUGAAUAUGACGAUCUCCCACCCAGGAGCAGAAAACUCUGACUACCCUGCUGGCUGCUGGCUGCUGCCUCCUGGGGAUGCUCCCAGCCACUACGCUGGGGACUUAUCCAGGUAACUCUGCUGCCGCUGCCCAGCAGGAGGCUUUGGACCUGUUUGACUGUUCAGUACUCUGCUCAUCCCAUCUUCUGUCUCCAGCCAGCCAUCCUUGUUUAACUUUCUGGAAGAUGAAUGUCUCCUAGGUUGUCUUUGGAAUCCCAUUUCUUUGACUUAAAGAGGCUGACAGGGUGAGAGAAACAAAGGCUGUUUAGGAUUUGAUCUCCCCUGAUUGUUUCUCUCUCGGUAAAGAGGUAAAUAAAAGGGAGGGGGAAGAAAAGAAAGAAAAAGGAGCCUGGGCUCAGCUCACCAGCUGUGGGUCCCUGAUGGGCCUGCCUGACGCAGUCACAUUGUGCAGGGGCUGGAGCACCUGUGAGGAGUUAAUGAGAAAAAUCCAGAAGUGUGGCUCCCACAAGGGCUCCCUUUAGAGUCCCACAGGGAUGACCCCACCCCUCCCCUGGCAAGUUUCAAUGACAGGUGGGAUUAAUCUCAGCAGGCUGUCCUUUGGAGACACUCCAUCAUCUCCUUUCUAGCUGGAAAGAGGGGUUCACCAUGUCAAGUUCUAGUGGUUUUCCUUGGGAUUUUAGGGUUUGAAGCUGUUUCUCAAGGUAAAGCUAAAAACCACAAAUAAAACGUUAAGGCUCCCAGGGGUGUCCUCCAGUAACUCAGCUGCCUGAGUCAACACGAAGCUGUCUGAGAAUCAAGAAGUUAUUGGUAGUGAAGGUCAGUCGGUAUCUUUGCAUCUCAAAUGGGUAAACUGAGUCCCAUUGAAGGCCUUGGCCAGAUCACUGCAAGCAGUUCGGUGUGGGGAAGGGUGAAAUCACCUGCUGAAGGGCAGCGUGGCAUUAGGCAAAGCUAUAAAAAGCUUACAUAUCAGAUGAGGCAGAGGACUGUGACCGCCUGGAGAAUUGGUGGGAGGUGAAGCAGCUGGAGAAAUGUCUUAGUGAAGGCGGCCAUAAGCAAGGAUUGGACUUUGUUACGGUCCCUCUCCUUGGAGAUUAGAAUCAGACAAAAGAGGUAGGUAGGUAACUCACUUUGGGUUCAUGGUGUCAGAGCAUCUCUGUUGUGCCACAUGCUCUGGAAGGCACUGGCUGUGCUAACCCAUAUGUGCCACUGUGAGAAAAAGGUGUGCCAUGCUCCUCAAAGCCAUUGAUUGAGAACGUCAGAAGUCAGAGGACCUGAUUGGUAGAGGUAGAUUUUCUUCACGCCUGCUUCCAACUGGUGCAAGCUGCCACAAAUGUCUAUGUCCUUUGAGCAUGGACAAGGUGAUCCCUGUCCUGUGUUCCUCAGGAGUCUAGUAAGGAUCAAGGGACAUAAGAGUCUUUGCCUGCUCUGCAGGCAAUACAGCAGUAAGAUCGAUGAGGUCCUUUGUUCAGAGGUCCCUUGACGUCUUCACCCUGGUGUGUUCUCUAUGCAAACUGUGAACAAGGGAAGAGUCCUGGGGAGACUCUCUGGGUACCUAACCACUCAGCUGAAAGUCAAAAAGUAUGGACUUAAGUCCUAACUCUACCACUUACUAGGCAUUUCAUCAUUCAGGUUCCUUGAUAUCACCCACAGACUAAGAACUAUGUUAGACAUCAUAUAGGAUGCCUGUAGGUAAAUUGUUUAUGUGAUGUCCGUGCAGCCGGCCUGGUAGACAGUGAUCUCUUUACUGAUUGAUGGUGCUUUGGUGAAGUCAGGUGAUCCACAGGUCCAGCCGGUGCUGAAUCCCAGAGAGGAUUCAGUUGUAUCAGUAACUGACAUGUGGAUGUGAAUUCUAAUUUACCCAUCUGGUGUCACGUGUGGACAGUGUGGGAGGAAGCAGUGAGGGUUUUCGUGAGAGCGAAUCCCAGCCCGAAAGCAAAGCCAGGGUAGAGAACUUGUACCAGCAUUACCACCAUUCUGCCACUGGGCAGAACUGUUAGGGAAACCUACCACCAGGCAGAAAGAUCUGGUCUGUUAGGGAGACAAGGCACACUUUCUCCCAUGGCCAGCCAAAGAACGUAUCUGGGUAUUAUCUGGGAACACACAGAAAGAAACUCAUGUCUGGCCCAUCUUUGCCCCAGAAGCCAACCUUGGUGGGUGGUUAGUGAUCAGUGUAAGAAUGUGUAGGCAGUCUGCUGCUUCUGUCUGAGGCACUGUGUCCAAAAGGCUGGCUAUCUCCACCGCCUUAUGUAUAACAUCAGAAGUCUGGAGCUGAAGUUAGACUGCAGGGAGCCAAAUAACCCUAUUAAGAAUGGGGUACAGAGCUAAACAAAGAAUUCUCAUCUGAGGAAUAUCGAAUGGCUGAGAAGCACCUAAAGAAAUGCUCAACAUCCUUAGUCAUCAGGGAAAUGCAAAUCAAAACAACCCUGAGAUUCUACCUCACGCCAGUCAGAAUGGCUAAGAUCAAAAACUCAGGUGACAGCAGAUGCUGGCGAGGAUGCGGAGAAAGAGGAACACUCCUCCAUUGUUGGUGGGAUUGCAAACUGAUACAACCACUCUGGAAAUCCAUCUGGAGGUUCCUCAGAAUAUUAGACAUUCCAUUACCUAAGGACCUGGCUAUACCUCUCCUGGGCAUAUACCCAAAAGAUGCUCCAACAUACAACAAAGACAUGUGCUCUAUUAUGUUCAUAGCAGCCUUAUUUAUAAUAGCCAGAAGCUGGAAAGAACCCAGAUGCCCUUCAACAGAGGAAUGGAUACAGAAAAUGUGGUACAUCUACACAAUGGAAUAUUACUCAGCUAUCAAAAACAAUGAUAGUGGAUAGUAGCCCAAAAGCUCCAAUCACCCAAGAUACAGUACAGAGACUUCAUCAAGCUCAAGAAGAAGAAUGGCCAAAGUGCAGAUGCUUUACUCCUUCUUAAAAAGGGGAACAAAAAUAUUCAUAGGAGGGGAUAUGGAGGCAGAGUUUAGAGCAGAGACUGAAGGAAUGGCCAGUCAGAGCCUUCCCCACAUGUGGCCCAUAUAUAUACAGUCACCAAAACUAGAUAAGAUUGAUGAAGCAAAGAAGUGCAUGCUGACAGGAACUAGAUAUAGAUAUCUCCUGAGAGACAAAGCCAGAGCAUGUCAAAUACAGAGGCAAAUACUAGCAGCAAACCACUGAACUGAGAAUGGGACCCCCAUUGGAGGAAUUAGAAAAAGGAUUGAAGGAGCCGAAGGGGCUUGUGACUCCAUAAGAACAACAAUGCCAACCAACCAGAGCUUCCAGGGACUAAACCACUACCCAAAGACUACACACGGACUGAUCCUGGGCUCCAACUGCAUAUGUAGUAGAGGAUGGCCUUGCUGGGCACCAAUGGGAGGAGAAGCCCUUGGUCCUGCCAAGGUUGGACCUCCAGUGUAGGGGAAUGUCGGGGGUGGGGGUGAGAAAGGGGUGUGGAUGAGGAGGGGAACACCCUUAUAGAAGAAGGGGAGGGGAGAUAAGGAGCUUAUGGACAGGAAACCAGGAAAGGGAAUAACAUUUGAAAUGUAAAUAAACAUCCAAUUAAAAAAAAAGAAGUCUGGAGCCAGUGUCCUUCUCCUGACAUACGAACAAUGCCAAAUUUCAAAGGCAGGAUCCUCCCUUUCUGCUGUUUCCUGUUGUGUCUCCGCCUUUAAAAAAUUAACUUUGAGAAUGUCAUAUGAUAUAUGGCCACCCUUCUUUAUAUAACUGCAAGCUAUUGAUUUAUUGUCUUUCUGUAUAAAAAUAGUUACACUAUUGUGCGUGUGCGUAGUGUGAGUGUGACUAGUGUGUCUGUGCAUGUUGAUGGGCAAGUCUGUCUAUUUAGGUUGGUGGGCACAUGGUGUAGAGUGUGUGAGGAGGAUAAUUUCUGAGAAUUGGUUCUCUCCUUCUCCAAAGCCAUUAUCCUUGAAAGCUUAGAUCUGGUGACAGGCACCCCUCCCCACCGAGUGGCCUUACCAGCCCACAGUUCUUGAUUUCAUUUACUCCAAGCCUAAGUCCCGCCUCUGGUGUGAGAUGUGUUUUGGCUUUGAGGCAUCUCCUGCCUACUUAAGGCCAUCUCUACAUGUUGGCAGAGCUGUUUCACUCAUGGACAGCUUGCAACUCUUGGCCUGCCUUCUUCAAAGCCUUUACUUUUGAAAGCAUUACCUUUGUGGUAUGUCUAAUUUUAUGUGACAGCUUAGCUCUCGUAGAACUGGGAUAAACUAUGGGCCCUUGGGCCAGGCCACCAGGUGGGCAUGGGACUGGUGAGGUGGGGCAUGCUCAAACUCCAGGACUCAGAGAUCUGAGACUGGCAGGAGUGGGGCUGCUCCCUCCCUCCCUGCCUCUAAGGCCUGCUCUGGCUGAACCACAACACUCAGGUAGGAUGACCCGGGCACUCAGUUAUGCAUCUGGAAUACCUCUCCAUGCUAAUGAGGCAUCUCAGUACCUUUAGCCUUCAGCCAAUAACCUUCCCUUCCUAGACACUCUCAGACCUUCCCCCAAAAUUAUAUAAUCCCUAGUUCACACCAAAUAAAGUAUAUUCAUUUAUAUCACCCCCAAUAAAGAAAUAUGAAUGAGUUAAGAUAAUUUUAGAGAGCUGCUUCAUUAAAGGUUGCCACAGGGAAGGCCUUUGCCUAACACUAAGUUUCCCUGAAGGAGACCUUUCCUCUUCUUCCACCUCAUUGGCAUUCGAUCCCAACCAGACUAGAAUCCUGCCCAUCCUUGACUCUGCUUUCCCUGGCCUGGCAUGCAGCAGUGUCUGACUCCCAGAAGGGAAAUGAGACUGCAGACUCCUCAUUCUAGACUUUGCCCAGUAACCCCCUCCCUGAGCCAGUGUUUUGGUGGUGUCCAGAUGCUGCCAGGGAGACACAGAACAUGGGACCACAAUAUAUUAAAAGUUAGUAUUUAGAAGCUGCCCCUCCGAGGGGACACUGAGCCCCAUGCAGGAGUUAAUGACUUCCUCCUUGAGACAAGGAUGCUUCUCUAUUUUACUUACUAAUGCAUCUCCAGGGCCAAGUGUUCAGCACACAGUAGGUAUUCAGCUGUACCUGUGAAGCAAACAGAAAGCAGUCAGCUUUGGCAGGCCAUGGGAGAAAGUGUGCCUCUGUUCCCUGAUGGAUAGGAUCUUCUCUCUGGUGGUAAUGUCGGUACAAGCUCUCCACCCAAGUUACUCUUGGGCUGGGAUUCGUUCACACUGAAACACUCACCCCUUUUCCCCACACAGUCCACCAUGUCUAAGUCCUCGGGGGAAAGCAAAGUUCUGAUUGUGACAUGGUCCAUCCAUAAUCCUAAAACGAUCUCCAAUUAUUCUUGAAAUUAAAUUCUCAUCUGAGUAGUUAAGGCAUCUGGCCUUAGCUACUCUCAGUUGUAAUAUCCAUUUGCUUUCUGCCAAUAUUCUGCAUUUCUUUCCCCUCCUCUUCCCCCCCUCCUUCCCCUCCUUCCCCUCCUUCCCCUCUUUCCCCUCUUUCCUGUCCUCCCCAUCCCCAUUUCUCUCUGCCCUUGCUCUGCUUCCUCCCCAUCCUCUUUCUCCUCCUCCUCCUUUUCUUCUUCUUCUUCUUCUUCUUCUUCUUCUUCUUCUUCUUCUUCUUCUUCUUCUUCUUCUUCUUCUUCUUCUUCUUCUUCUUCCUCUCCUCCUCCUCCUCCUCCUCCUCCUCCUCCUCCUCCUCCUUCUCCUUCUUCUACUUCUUCAGAUAGGAUCUCAUGUAGCCCAUGUAGUUUUGAACUCCUUGAGUAACUGAGACUGACCCUUGACUUGGACUCCUCUGGCCCCAUCUUUAAAAUGUUGCAGCUAAAAAUGCAUGCCACCAGCGGUUGCUUUUCCAUAGCAUUGUGCAAUGCUUUCCACACUUCUCCUUGAAGACUUCCUGUCUCCAUCUUUUCUUUCCUCCUGUUCCUUCUAUUUGGUGGGAACAUUUUCCCCAACAAAGUGAAGUUCAGGAGGGGUCCUGAAUGGCAUCCAGGGAGUCUUCCACCAUCUGCAGUCACAGCUCUGAAGAUCACCCCAAGUUUUCAAGCCCCACCUCUAACCUCGAUAGGCUUAAGACAUUUCCAAGGAGAUCUUUGUGCCUUUGCUCAUCCUCCUGUGUAUAUCUGUACUCUUAGACCUACAACCUUUCUGUAGGUCUCAUUCUAGUGAGGUCGAAAGUCUUUUGAAGAUAAGAUAUGAUACCCCUUCCCUGUGCUUUGCACACAAUGCUCUCUUGUGGAAGAGCAGAGUUUGCUCAUCUGUUGCAUCAAACAAUGACUCUAAACAAAGGUGGUCCCUCUCCAUGGGCUGCUUGUUCCUUCUAGCUUCUUUUUAGGUCAAAUGGACCUUCCACAAAAAGGAAUGAUCUUGCCCAGGAGUGGUAGCAAAUGCCUUUAAUCCCAGCAUUCAGGAGGUAGAGGUGGGUGGACCUGUUUGAGUUAGAGGCCAGCCUGAUCUACAUAGUGAGUUCCACACCAACCAAGGCUACUUAGUAAGACACUGUCUAAAGAAACAGAAAUAAACAAAUACAUAGAUAAAAAGGAGCGAUCUUUGUGGUCACCAUCGAAAAACAGUUUUAAGCAUGAAAUGUUGGAUCCAAAACCUAGUAGCUUCCCAAUCACUCUAACCAUGCAAUGGUUCUCCUUCCCUCUGCCCGGGUGGACACUCACACUGUGGUUGCUGAAAGUUGAUUUCUGUACAUUAUCGAGGGUAUCGAGUGUGCUUGUUUGAGCUCCAGGAAAGUCAACCUCGAAUGCUUCAAACCUGCCCAACCAAUCUCUACUUGGGAAAAAUAAAUAAGAGGUGGAGUUGUUUCUUCAAAGCAUUUGAUGGGUGAGCACACAUUCUGUAGUUCCUCGAGGGUCACUGAAGUUCCUGUGUUAUCACUAGCGCUGCAUUCCUGAACCUGAAAAGAAAUGAGCUACUUAGUAUGUUCCUUUGCAGAUGGCCCCCAUGCCUUGAGGUCUAUCUACCUGUUUUCAGGAAGACUUUGGGCAGUAGCAAUGAAGGGAUAUUUCCCCUGUAUGUUACAGAGGCCAGUCUCUUGACAACAGCUUGGCAAGAAAAAGAAUAAAAUCUAUUUUACAUCUACUGAAUGUCUCUAAUUGGGUUUUGAAGACCAAACAAUUCCCUUCAAUACAGCUGGGGCUUUGGGUAGCCCCAAACCAAUUAACUCAAAUUAUAUAAUUUUCCCUCCCGCCCCUACUCUCUAAACUUGACUUGCUUAGUUAGCGAAGAGAGGGAUUAGUGCGAAUGCUGCUUGGCACAAUGGAUGAACUCAACUGUGGGACAGCCAGAGCAUCUUGCCUGUGGAAAAAGAAUAAAGGCAAACUCCGGUUGUUGAGCUGUCGUGUCCUUGGUACGGCUCUCCUCCUUCUACAGUGUAAUUCUGUAUUUGGCAUAAAUAUACUAAUGGAUUACGGGAGAGCAGAAAACAUCCGAGCCUUUGAAUGGGAGCAAGCAACCUCUUCGGUCUCUGGGCAUGCGCAGGGCACCUCAUUAAGGCGCCUAGAUUUGUGAAGUGGUGACCAGAGCCAUGCAAACAGUCUGAGGAGGAAUCUGAGCAGGUAUGUUCAUGCGCAUGCGUGGUUGUUUAAAGGCACAAGAGUGCUACUACGAAUAGAGUUCCUCUUUCUUCUCACAUGAUUUGGAAUUGAGACGAGAAUAGGAGGAAUGAUAAAAUCCCAUGACAGUUCUAAGUAUGGAUAUUACAGAAUUAUUUACUUAACAUGUAGGAGUACAUCAUCGCUGUCUUCAGGCACACGAGAAGAGGGCGCCAUUACCGAUGGUUGUGAGCCACCAUGUAGUUGCUGGGAAUUGAACUCAGGACCGCUGGAAGAGCAGUCAGUGCUCUUAACUGCUAAGCUGUCUCUCCAGCCCUAUCUUACAUAUUAAAAGUGCAAUGAUUUUAAAGGUGGAACAGUAUCUUACAGUAUGACUGUAUGCCAAAAGUCUUUUGCAAAUUUUGUUACAAACAGCUCAAUUCCCCCCUUCCCCUAUUUCAUAUACAACAUUGCAUACUAUAGUCCUUGUAACAAGAUCCUUGACACCAGAUCCUUGCUUGCAGCUUUUAAUGCUGGCGAAAUGCACGUGAACCUAGUCCGUUUAGUGUUCGGACAAAAGGACCGUUGGCAGGUCCCCGCAUCCCAACUGCAGGCCUUUUCAGGGAUUCUCACACUCGCAGCCUGUGAGAUCCUAGCUUCUAAGUGCUGACCUUUCAGAUAUCAAAAAGAGAAAAAGGCAGACAUCCCUCAAUGUCUCUCUUCUCUUCUAAGAAUAUAAAACACAGUGGUAAGCUUGCCCUGGUCUUUUCUCACACAUUCCUGUCUGGGCAGAUGCUGCCCUGGAAACUGUUGGCUCCUUUGACUGUUAGAAGCCAGCAGCUUCCUGCAGCCAUGCUAAGAACCUGGGUGUUGGAAGUUAUCAUUCAGGUCUCGACUGCUCGUGCAGAAGAGGAAACUGAGAGACUGAGAGAAUAGUGGUCAUCUCAGGAACCAGUAGGCCAUUUUCUCAGCAACUGUGGGCGAAAUGACAUCUUGUCUUGUGUGUGUGUGUGUGUGUAUGUGUGUGUGUGUGUGUGUAUGUGUUUGUGUAUGUGUGUGUGUGAGUGUGUGUAUGUGUGUGUAUGUGUGUGUGAGUGUGUGUGUAUGUGUGUAUAUGUAUGCAUGUGUAUGUGUGUGUAUGUGUGUGCAUGUGUAUGUAUGUAUGUGUGUAUGUGUGUAUAUGUGUGUAUGUAUGUGAGUGUGUGUGUGUGUAUGUGUCUGUAUGUGUGUGUUAGUGUGUGUGUAUAUGUGUGUGUGUAUGUGUGUGAGUGGUGUGUGUAUGUGUGUGAGUGUAUGUGAGUGUAUGUGUGUGUGAGUGUGUGUAUGUGUAUGUAUGUGUGUGUAUAUGUAUGGGUGUGUGUAUGUGUGUAUAUGUGUGUGUAUGUAUGUGUAUGUGUGUGUAUGUGUGUGUGUAUUUAAAAACAGUUUUUGUUUCAUAAAAAAAUGAAUAUUGCUCAGCCUCAAAAUACUUUUCUUUUCUUUUUUUUUUUGUCCCACCAUGGAAAUUCAUCCCAACUUUAGUCCUAGUUUACUCUGGUCAAGCUUGAAGAUAAUGUAGGAGGUAAGGAGAUUUAAGUUUUUCAUUCCUGGUUAUCAGGAUACCUUCUAAAGAUUUUGCAGCCCUCGUUCACCUGGCAUUCACUAUGUAGUCCAGGCUGGCCAGGAAGUAACUCUCUCUGCUUCCUGAGUGCUGGGAUUAAAGGUGUAUACUACCACUCUCAGCCUUGGUUUUUCUUCUUCUGACGGGCAUAGUCUCUCCAAGAUUUUCCAAGAUUGGGUUAAGGAAUCUACAGAUUUGCUCACUGGUUUUCUUCAAAACAGUAUUGAGUGUGUGUGUUUUUCCUCCUGGUCCCAGACUCUUGUAAUAAUGACUCUGAGACUCAAAAUAUAUUUAUGAACACCUUAGCCAUAAGUUUUUUGGUUGGUUCCUGGAUUAGAUCAGAACUUAAUGUCCCAUUUAUUUUAAUGUAAGUUCUGCCAUAGGGCUUCUAUCCUCUUCCGUGUUCCCAGGUGAAACCCCCACUCCUCUCUAUCCCAGAAUUCAAUUUCCCUACCGGAUGUCCUACCUUCUCUUUCUUACCUAAGUUUAUAGGCCAAUCAGUGACUGACAGGUGCUGCAUCCAUACAGUACACAGAGAUUCCCUCUACACGUUAGUGUCCCAGAGGUGGAAGACCAGGUUUGCUAGGCCCUGUGGUACCAAUGAUUAAGGUUUGGCCUUCCUCUGUUGAAAGCCUCCAUCUUUGGGGAUUCGGAUACUCAAAUUCAGGAGCCAUAGCCCAAGGACAAGACUCAGAGUCUUGAAAGAGAGACAGUAGAUAUUUCAAGUUCAAAUUCUGAAGAGAAUGUCAAAAAAUGAUUUGGCUUCUUUCUUGGGAAAGAAAUAAGGGAGCCGUGGCAGACCAGAGAGCGAACUGACUUGUUCAAGGUUGAGUGUUGACAUAAUGGUCAACCUGGAUGGGUUUGGUUCUUUUGACUUAAUUCAAGAUGGCCUUUGGUGGCCAGUGACUCUCACAUCUUAAUGCUGAAAGCAGGUCAGUUAUCCUUCUGACUUCUGGCUUGGGAAUGGCAGGAGAAACUUCACCUACAGGUUGCAAUUUCAUCCAGCUGCCUCUUCCUAGAUAGAUUUGCUAUUUGUGUCAAGAAUAUAACGUGGAUAAGCAGAUGGGGCCCUCGUAACACUUCUCCCCUUUGGAUGCAAAUCUGUCAGAUGUAUUUACUUAUCAUAGCUGCUUCCACCUCUGAACCUUGACUGCCACCCCUGUCCUGGGAAUCCUCCCCAAAAAUCAAAGCACCCUGAUGGUUUAUUUUGGAAGUAUCUUGAAAAGGAUAAUGUUUGACCACUCUCCUCCGUGCCUUUCCCUCUAUGUGCUGUGUGUAAUGAUCCAGAGACAAUCAAUUGGACACUGCAUUUUAAAGAUAAGGAUGGGGAUUUUAUUUCUGGGUAACCCGGUGACCCCAAUCAAUCUCUGUCUUACAAACCCUCUGAAGAUUUGAAGCUCCACUCUGCAAUUCAGGGCAGCUUCCAAGGAUGGCAACAGAUGUUGCAAUCCAAACACCUUUAUUAACUAUUUAUCUUCAGAUGUAUAUCAAGGACCUCUUGGCCAACAGGAGUAGUAGAUAGCCCCUUAAAUGAGGAACCCCCAGCUUUCAUCUUCAAGCCGUUUCCCCCUGUAAUCCCUUUGAGGAGGAAUAAAGUAGCUGACAAUAUUGAACUCCUUUAAAAGUUUGUCUCCGAAGGGCAGAUGUUGUCUACCCAGUGAAAAUGUUGCUGAUAGUUGCAUCUCUCUCUCUCUCUCUCUCUCUCUCUCUCUCUCUCUCUCUCACACACACACACACACACACACACACACACACACAUACACACACACACACACACACACACA